GAUGAACGCUGGCGGCGUGCCUAAUACAUGCAAGUCGAGCGAACAGACGAGGAGCUUGCUCCUCUGACGUUAGCGGCGGACGGGUGAGUAACACGUGGAUAACCUACCUAUAAGACUGGGAUAACUUCGGGAAACCGGAGAUAAUACCGGAUAAUAUAUUGAACCGCAUGGUUCAAUAGUGAAAGACGGUUUUGCUGUCACUUAUAGAUGGAUCCGCGCCGCAUUAGCUAGUUGGUAAGGUAACGGCUUACCAAGGCAACGAUGCGUAGCCGACCUGAGAGGGUGAUCGGCCACACUGGACCUGAGACCCGGUCCAAACUCCUACGGGAAGCAGCAGUAGGGAAUCUUCCGCAAUGGGCGAAAGCCUGACGGAGCAACGCCGCGUGAGUGAUGAAGGUCUUCGGAUCGUAAAACUCUGUUAUUAGGGAAGAACAAAUGUGUAAGUAACUAUGCACGUCUUGACGGUACCUAAUCAGAAAGCCACGGCUAACUACGUG
rnacentral:rRNA from 1 species